AGCCGCUGUCUCGGCAGAGGGGCCCCUUCCCAUGGUCAAGUGCUCAUAGGUCUCUUUUUCACAUUCUCCCUCCUGCCUGGACUCUUCUGAGUUUUGAUUCAUGUACUCAGCUUUCUCUCUGAUGUGUCAUCUCCAUACAUGUAAGUAUUAAGUUGGUGUGAAAGUAACUACUUUUAAAGGCAUAAGUCACAAUUACUUUUGCAAAAACCUAAUAAUAGCAUGAUAACACAUAGAUUCACAAAACAGGGCAACUUUUAUUCACCACUGUAAGCUGUACAUUCCUGAAAGUCAGGGACACAGUUUAACUGAGCCAAACGCUUGAUCCAUAGUGGAUAUUCAGUAAAUACUGUUGAAUGAAUGCAGAACAGUCUCACAGUAGUUCUAAACUGCCUUUGAAUCA
rnacentral:lncRNA from 1 species